rnacentral:lncRNA from 1 species
GUUGAAACUACAAAACCUAAAUCUGUUUUAUUUGAAUAAGGUUACAUGACGAUUUUAUCAAACACAAGUAAAGAGGUAUAUGUGCAUAGACAAUAAAUGAUGUAUAAAUAAAAAGGUCAAGAUUAACGUUAUAGUUCCGUGGUUUAAUAUCAUUGAUAUGGUUAUAUUUAUAAAUAAACUGUUUACAACAGUUUGAAUUUUUGAAAUACUAA